GACGGAGGGUGCAAGCGUUGCUCGGAAUCACUGGGCGUAAAGGGUGCGUAGGCGGUCUCGCAAGUCGCGUGUGAAAGCCCCCGGCUCAACUGGGGAGGGUCACGCGAUACUGGUCGACUCGAAGGCAGGAGAGGGUAGUGGAAUUCCCGGUGUAGUGGUGGAAUGCGUAGAUAUCUGGAGGAACACCGGUGGCGAAGGCGGCAUCCUGGACCGGUAUUGACGCUGAUGCGCGAAAGCCAGGGGAGCAAACGGG
rnacentral:rRNA from 1 species